CCUGAAUUGGCUGAUGUUUCAGACGGCUUUAUUUGAGCUGCACUAACACAGGAUACGUCCUUCGGUUGCAAUGGCAGAUAAAGCGCUUUUUUAAUGUGACUACAGUGUUUUUAUUUCUGGAAUAUACUUUAAACCAUGCAGUCAUAAUACGGACCUUUUCUAUGGGAAGAUGUUUUGUCUGCGACUUCAACCGUGGCUUCAACCUAGGACUCAGCUGUCUGCUUUCCGUGUACAGAGAGUUCACAAGUUUGCUUCGCUGCAAGAGACCAGAGUUCGAGCCCCCAACAAAGUCAAAUGCUUACUUUACCCUUUGACUGAUCUAGAGGCUUACCUAGACAGCUCUGUGGAUCGGACACAGUUCCAUCUCUUUCAUCCCUGUGUUGAUGAUGUUCUAAAAGCCGAGGGACUCUUCUGCUCCUCGCCAUCUCAUAAGAUUGAUUAUUAUAUAUCAGCAGAGAGGAUGGACCACACACCUGCAUUGAAGCAACCAGAGGUGUGUUUCAUUGGCCGAAGCAAUGUGGGAAAGUCAUCUCUAAUCAAGUCUCUGUUUUCUCUCAGUCCUAAUGUGGAAGUCAGAAUCUCCAAAACCCCUGGUCACACCAAAAAGAUGAACUUCUUCAGAGUGGGUAGAGCUUUCACCAUUGUAGACAUGCCAGGUUAUGGACAUAGAGCACCCAAAGGUUUUGUGGAUAUGGUUGAACCAUAUCUCUUCUCAAGAAAGAAUCUUGUCAGGACAUUCUUGUUGGUGGAUGGCAGUGUUGGACUGCAGAAGACUGACUACAUCGCCCUUGAGAUGUGUGAGGAAACGAGAUGUCCAUAUGUGAUGGUGAUAACUAAGAUUGAUAAAUGUGGUCAUGGCCCACUACUGAGAAACAUAUUGACUUUUCAAGAUGUGAUUAAAACACAGACCAACAGCUGUUUCCCCCAGCCAUUUUUGGUCAGGCUAAGAAGCCCACCUGAUCAAUUGAGGACUGGACCGGGCCCAGGAGUCCUGCCAAGAGCAACCCAGUGGGACAGGACAUGUUCUAUUCUGAGGGACCCAAUGUGGUCCGCCAGCCCCUCCGAUGCUCCCCAACAGCUGCCAACCCAGCUGUGCCCGCCGAGACCCAAUGCUAGCGCAUAGGAGCAGGGCGCAAAUACCAGGAAAUGGCACAGACAUGCUAAAACCCAGUCCCCCAGAAACCGUUUGACAUGGGUAUGUCCUCAAAUGUCAAGCCCAUCAGGCCAGACAACUCCUGCUUAAGUGGGCUGCCACAUCCAGACCUGCGGCAACAACCACAUGACUCCCCCGUGAGCACCUACUACCCGCCCAUGAGUGUAGGAGGUGGAACACCCCCCGGCCCCUAACCAGGAAGGGCCCAAAAAAAAAACAGCAGGCCUCACAGCCUGCAGGAGACCACCGCCCCCACAGGAAGAGGGCGAGCACAGCGGGACAGAAGGAACAAAGAGAAGAGGAAGCUGGCUCAAGGAAUGACAAAGGGGUUCCACUGCUCCCAACCAACAGCCAGAGCGGGGACCCAUGCGGGCGCCACCACGGCACCCAUGGAACAUGGACAAGUCACGAUCACACAACCAAUACUCUCUGUGAGGUCACCCCCAUGGUUAUGCACCCCCCAUCUCCAAGAUCGGGAAUGAGUAGAAAAAAGUCUUACCCCCACAGAAGUUGAAACCGCAAACACAGCAACGAGAAGAAAAUCCCCAUUCCAUGCAUGUGUCAUCUAACAAUGCAAACCAAUUUAAAAUGUGUGGGAAAAUAAAAAUAAAAAAAACAAACAAACAAAAAACUAAUGGAAUAAUUAUUCCAACAAUAACCUUGACAAAGAAUAUAGAAGUCAAACGUUUUUCACACUUAGGAACGUAUUCUUGGUAUUGUCAGAAGGCACCCUACCCAGGCAAAGAAAUCAAG